UUCACUGCAGUCUUCAAGAAGGGCAAGAAGGAGGAUCUUGGAGACUACAGGCCAGCGAGCCUCGCCUCUAUCCCUGGAGAAGUGAUGGAACAAUUUGUUCUGGAUACCCUCUCCAAGCAGUUGGAAGGGAAGGAUGUUACCAGGAGUAGUAAAUGUGGAUUCACCAAGGGGAAGUCAUACUUGGCCAACCUUGUAGCCUUCUAUGAUGUCAUCACUGGCUGUAUAGAUGGAGGAGAGCAGUGGAUGUUGUGUAUCUUGACUUCAGCAAGGUCUACAGAUUUUUGCCAGUGAAGUUUCUCUGAAUGCUUGUUCAGGCCUCCAGGUGGGAUGAAUCACUUUCUGCAUAUUCUCCAGUGAUGACAAAGGGAACAUCAGCUUCCAGGACUAAAACCAUGAGCUCUAAAUAAUAUAUUAAACAUGAACGAUCCAAAUGAAGCCUGGCAGUUACUCAAGGGCCAUCUCAGGGCUUCCUGACUGUGAGCAAACCUGAAUUUUGCCACUGCUUAGCUGAGGGUCGAGGAUGUUUAUUUUGUUCUCGUUGUUUGUGGAGACAUUUCAGUUUUGUGAUGGUGCAAAGGAGGGUUCGGGGAAAAUAAAGCAGGUAAUAAGGGGCUGGAUGAGUUUUUUAAAGUUCUGGUAAAAUAGGAACUUUUCUGUGGAGAUAAAAGUAAAAAGAUAAGUGAGAUUUUGAAGGCCAUGGCUCUGCGGUGCCUUUCCUCUUUCACUACCCUGCCAGUCAGAUCUCUGAUCUAUCCCAGAGAAAGGUUCCACCCCACAGAAAAGAUGCUGGUGCAGGCUCAGCAUGGACUUUGUGCAGUGUACAUUGGGAACCUACCUUGCUGGGUCUGUGAGAAGUCAGGAUUAGAGCUCCCAGGCUUGUAAGCUCCCCAAAGCCUCCCCUAUUUUUUCCACAUAUCCCAUUCAUACAAAAUUUCUACAUCUUCACCCCUUUGGGUAUUCCUUCCUUUACCCUGCUCCAAGAUAAGAUUUAUUUCCACAAGGUGCCCUUCUGGCUCUUGUUCUCUUUCUUCCACAUCAACAUAGGACAUGAUCUCCCACUCUUCCUUCUACCCAAAUCGACUUUCUCGUUCUUUCCCUUGUGGCAGGAUGAGGGUCUCCCCUUGUCUCCUGCUCCCAGUGCAGUCAGGGAAGCAGAGAUAAGACA